AAGACCUUGCGCUUUUGGAGCGGCCGAUGCCUGAUUAGCUUGUUGGUAAGGUAAAAGCUUACCAAGGCUUCGAUCAGUAGCUGGUCUGAGAGGACGACCAGCCACACUGGGACUGAGACACGGCCCAGACUCCUACGGGAGGCAGCAGUGGGGAAUUUUGGACAAUGGGGGCAACCCUGAUCCAGCCAUGCCGCGUGAGUGAAGAAGGCCUUCGGGUUGUAAAGCUCUUUCAGCCGGAACGAAACGGUUACGGUUAAUACCCGUGAUUACUGACGGUACCGGAAGAAGAAGCACCGGCUAACUACGUGCCAGCAGCCGCGGUAAUACGUAGGGUGCAAGCGUUAAUCGGAAUUACUGGGCGUAAAGCGUGCGCAGGUGGUUUUGUAAGUCAGAUGUGAAAUCCCCGGGCUUAACCUGGGAACU
rnacentral:rRNA from 1 species